rnacentral:rRNA from 1 species
UCUUAGUGGCGGACGGGUGAGUAACGCGUGGUAACCUGCCUUAUACAGGGGGAUAACACUUAGAAAUAGGUGCUAAUACCGCAUAAGCGCACGGGGCUGCAUGGCCCAGUGUGAAAAACUCCGGUGGUAUAAGAUGGACCCGCGUCUGAUUAGCUUGUUGGCGGGGUAACGGCCCACCAAGGCGACGAUCAGUAGCCGGCCUGAGAGGGUGGACGGCCACAUUGGGACUGAGACACGGCCCAAACUCCUACGGAAGGCAGCAG